rnacentral:rRNA from 1 species
CAACGGAUCUCUUGGCUCUCGCAUCGAUGAAGAACGCAGCGAAAUGCGAUAAGUAAUGUGAAUUGCAGAAUUCAGUGAAUCAUCGAAUCUUUGAACGCACCUUGCGCCCCUUGGUAUUCCGAGGGGCAUGCCUG